rnacentral:tRNA from 1 species
GGGCGUCUUGGCCUAGCGGAUUUCUACUCCGCGGGUUGCAGGUUCGAGCCCUGCCGGGAUUCGCCA